rnacentral:rRNA from 1 species
CCUACGGGAGGCAGCAGUGGGGAAUAUUGCACAAUGGGGGAAACCCUGAUGUAGCGACGCCGCGUGAGUGAAGAAGUAUUUCGGUAUGUAAAGCUCUAUCAGCAGGGAAGAAAAUGACGGUACCUGAUUAAGAAGCCCCGGCUAACUACGUGCCAGCAGCCGCGGUCAUACGUAGGGGGCAAGCGUUAUCCGGAUUUACUGGGGGUAAAGGGAGCGUAGACGGCAGCACAAGUCUGGAGUGAAAUGCCGGGGCUUAACCCCGGAACUGCUUUGGAAACUGUGCAGCUAGAGUGCAGGAGAGGUAAGUGGAAUUCCUAGUGUAGCGGUGAAAUGCGUAGAUAUUAGGAGGAACACCAGUGGCGAAGGCGGCUUACUGGACUGUAACUGACGUUGAGGCUCGAAAGCGUGGGGAGCAAACAGGAUUAGAUACCCGUGUAGUA